GACAGAGGCCUCAAGCGUUAGGCGGAAUCACUGGGCUUAAAGCGCGUGUAGGCGGCUUUGCAAGUCGGGUGUGAAAGCCCUCAGCUCAACUGAGGAAGUGCGCCCGAAACUGCAGAGCUUGAAUACCGGAGAGGAUGGCGGAAUUCCCCAAGUAGAGGUGAAAUUCGUAGAUAUUCGGAAGAACACCAGUGGCGAAGGCGACUUACUGGACACAUAUUGACGCUGAGGUGCGAAAGCGUGGGGAGCAAACAGG
rnacentral:rRNA from 1 species